rnacentral:rRNA from 1 species
UACGUAGGGGGCAAGCGUUGUCCGGAAUCAUUGGGCGUAAAGAGCGCGUAGGCGGUCCGGUAAGUCCGCUCUGAAAGUCCGGGGCUCAACCCCGGGAGGCGGGCGGAUACUGUCGGGCUAGAGUCCGGAAGAGGAGUGUGGAAUUCCCGGUGUAGCGGUGGAAUGCGCGGAUAUCGGGAGGAACACCCGUGGCGAAGGCGGCACUCUGGGACGGUACUGACGCUGAGACGCGAAAGCGUGGGGAGCAAACAGG